GAUGAACGCUGGCGGCGUGCCUAAUACAUGCAAGUCGAGCGAACGGACGAGAAGCUUGCUUCUCUUAUGUUAGCGGCGGACGGGUGAGUAACACGUGGAUAACCUACCUAUAAGACUGGGAUAACUUCGGGAAACCGGAGCUAAUACCGGAUAAUAUUUUGAACCGCAUGGUUCAAAAGUGAAAGACGGUCUUGCUGUCACUUAUAGGUGGAUCCGCGCUGCAUUAGCUAGUUGGUAAGGUAACGGCUUACCAAGGCAACGAUGCAUAGCCGACCUGAGAGGGUGAUCGGCCACACUGGAACUGAGACACGGUCCAGACUCCUACGGGAGGCAGCAGUAGGGAAUCUUCCGCAAUGGGCGAAAGCCUGACGGAGCAACGCCGAGUGAGUGAUGAAGGUCUUCGGAUCGUAAAACUCUGUUAUUAGGGAAGAACAUAUGUGUAAGUAACUGUGCACAUCUUGACGGUACCUAAUCAGAAAGCCACGGCUAACUACGUG
rnacentral:rRNA from 1 species